rnacentral:rRNA from 1 species
UACGUAGGGGGCUAGCGUUGUCCGGAAUCAUUGGGCGUAAAGAGCGCGUAGGCGGCUAGAUAAGUCCGGUGUGAAAGUCACAGGCUCAACCUGUGAAUGCCGCUGGAAACUGUCUGGCUAGAGUCCGGAAGGGGCGAGUUGGAAUUCCUGGUGUAGCGGUGAAAAUGCGCAGAUAUCAGGAGGAACACCAAUUGCGAAGGCAGCUCGCUGGGACGUUACUGACGCUGAGACGCGAAAGCGUGGGGAGCAAACAGG